rnacentral:rRNA from 1 species
GAGUUUGAUCCUGGCUCAGAUUGAACGCUGGCGGCAGGCCUAACACAUGCAAGUCGGGCGGUAGAGAGAAGCUUGCUUCUCUUGAGAGCGGCGGACGGGUGAGUAAUGCCUAGGAAUCUGCCUGGUAGUGGGGGAUAACGCUCGGAAACGGACGCUAAUACCGCAUACGUCCUACGGGAGAAAGCAGGGGACCUUCGGGCCUUGCGCUAUCAGAUGAGCCUAGGUCGGAUUAGCUGGUUGGUGAGGUAAUGGCUCACCAAGGCGACGAUCCGUAACUGGUCUGAGAGGAUGAUCAGUCACACUGGAACUGAGACACGGUCCAGACUCCUACGGGAGGCAGCAGUGGGGAAUAUUGGACAAUGGGCGAAAGCCUGAUCCAGCCAUGCCGCGUGUGUGAAGAAGGUCUUCGGAUUGUAAAGCACUUUAAGUUGGGAGGAAGGGCAGUAAAUUAAUACUUUGCUGUUUGACGUUACGACAGAAUAAGCACCGGCUAACUCUGUGCCAGCAGCCG